rnacentral:rRNA from 1 species
UACGAAAGGGGCUAGCGUUGUUCGGCCUUACGGGGCGUAAAGCGCACGUCGGCGGCUUGGUAAGUUGGGGGUGAAAUCCCAGGGCUCAACCCUGGAACUGCCUCCAAAACUGCUAGGCUAGAGGAUGCGAGAGGUUGGCGGAAUUCCGAGUGUAGAGGUGAAAUUCGUAGAUAUUCGGAAGAACACCAGUGGCGAAGGCGGCCAACUGGCGCAUUUCUGACGCUGAGGUGCGAAAGCGUGGGGAGCAAAUAGG